GUACACUCCUACGGGAGGCAGCAGUGGGGAAUAUUGCACAAUGGGCGCAAGCCUGAUGCAGCCAUGCCGCGUGUAUGAAGAAGGCCUUCGGGUUGUAAAGUACUUUCAGCGGGGAGGAAGGCGAUAAGGUUAAUAACCUUGUUGAUUGACGUUACCCGCAGAAGAAGCACCGGCUAACUCCGUGCCAGCAGCCGCGGUAAUACGGAGGGUGCAAGCGUUAAUCGGAAUUACUGGGCGUAAAGCGCACGCAGGCGGUCUGUCAAGUCGGAUGUGAAAUCCCCGGGCUCAACCUGGGAACUGCAUUCGAAACUGGCAGGCUAGAGUCUUGUAGAGGGGGGUAGAAUUCCAGGUGUAGCGGUGAAAUGCGUAGAGAUCUGGAGGAAUACCGGUGGCGAAGGCGGCCCCCUGGACAAAGACUGACGCUCAGGUGCGAAAGCGUGGGGAGCAAACAGUAUUAGAUACCCUAGUAGUCC
rnacentral:rRNA from 1 species